rnacentral:rRNA from 1 species
GACGAACGCUGGCGGCGGGCUUAACACAUGCAAGUCGAACGGAAAGGCCCUGCUUUUGUGGGGUGCUCGAGUGGCGAACGGGUGAGUAACACGUGAGUAACCUGCCCUAGACUUUGGGAUAAGUUCAGGAAACUGGAGCUAAUACCGGAUAGGAGCUCCUGCUGCAGGGUGGGGGGUGGAAAGUCUCGGCGGGUGGGGAUGGACUCGCGGCUUAUCAGCUUGUUGGUGGGGUAGUGGCUGACCAAGGCUUUGACGGGUAGCCGGCCUGGGAGGGUGACCGGCCACAUUGGGACUGAGAUACGGCCCAGACUCCUACGUGAGGCAGCAGUGGGGAAUAUUGCCCAAUGGGCGCAAGCCUGAUGCAGCAGCGCCGCGUUCGGGAUGCCGGCCUUCGGGUUGUAAACCGCUUUAGCCUGUGACGAAGCGUGAGUGACGGUAAUGGGUGAAUAAGCACCGGCUAACUUCGUG